rnacentral:rRNA from 1 species
CUACGGGCCGCAGCAGUGGGGAAUAUUGCACAAUGGGCGCAAGCCUGAUGCAGCCACGCCGCGUGUAUGAAGAAGGCCUUCGGGUUGUAAAGUACUUUCAGCGGGGAGGAAGGGAGUAAAGUUAAUACCUUUGCUCAUUGACGUUACCCGCAGAAGAAGCACCGGCUAACUCCGUGCCAGCAGGCCGCGGUAAUACGGAGGGUGCAAGCGUUAAUCGGAAUUACUGGGCGUAAAGCGCACGCAGGCGGUUUGUUAAGUCAGAUGUGAAAUCCCCGGGCUCAACCUGGGAACUGCAUCUGAUACUGGCAAGCUUGAGUCUCGUAGAGGGGGGUAGAAUUCCAGGUGUAGCGGUGACAUGCGUAGAGAUCUGGAGGAAUACCGGUGGCGAAGGCGGCCCCCUGGACGAAGACUGACGCUCAGGUGCGAAAGCGUGGGGAGCAAACAGGAUUAGAUACCCGCGUAGUC